GUUGUUGUGGUCAUCAGCAUCACCAUUUCCAUCACCACCACAAUCAAUGAUCUCUGUCAUCAUUAGUACCUUCAUUAUCGUCACUAUCAGGUAACCAUGACCACCAUCCUGCUUUACCACCUUCAAUACCAUCAUUAUCACCUCACCAUCGUCAUUAUCAUCGGCAUCACCAACACAUCACUUAACCAUCACUAAUACUUCCACCACCAUCAUCACUACCAACACACCACAUAACCAUAUUGUUAUCAUCAUUACCAUCAUCACCACCAUCAUUACUACCUCCUCAUCAUUAACAUAAUAAUGAUCAUCAUCUUCUUCUUCCAUCUUAAAAAUCUAUUGUAUUUAAGCAUCUAUUUUGUGCCGCGUAUUCUAAAUUGCUUUUUUUCUCUGUUUUCUCUUAUCUCUCAUAUAUCCUUCUCAGUUGAGGAUACCAAACAAAAUAACUUCCCAAGCUUGUCUAAGCAAUAAAUAUCUCUGUCACUAUUGGAGCUUGUAUUUUUCUGACUUCCCAGCCUCAGUGCUUUUGAUAAACUCUCAAGUCCAGCAUGCUUAGUGUUCUACUUCUUCUAUAAGCUGAAGGAGAUGCCUUAGCUAUAGUCCUUAUUGUGUGGACACCUGUAACAAAGCUAGCUUUAAUUUGGGGCUGGUGUCUAUAGCACUUACCCUCAUCUCUUUUAAAUCUUUCUCAUACAGACCUCUAUAUUUCUUACAUCUUGAACAUUGUUAGUUGACUUUGGGAUCAAAAUACAAUCAUUUUAUAGCCAUCUCUAUGUGUCAAGUUUCCAAACCCUACCUUGCUUAAUAUACUGCCCUGUCUUUCAAGUUGGGGCCUCUGAAUUUACCUCUGUGACUUCAUCCUUUCACAAAGGCUAAGAUUGUCCUUGAUUUGGGACAAGAGAGAACUUAACUACAUGUUCUGAGAUUGCGGUGAGGUACUGGCUGGCUUCAGGACCACUUCCUUUACUAUAAAUAACACAUUAAGGUCAGGACUUCAUUUGAAGGUUGCCUAUCUAUAGAUUUCCUGAUUUCCUCUUGUCUGUAUUGGUAGAAAUGACCAAACUUUUCUUUGUAACCUGAGAUCCUACACAAGUUUUUUUUUUCAGCACUAACAUCUCUAAAACAUUAUCUUUAACAUCCUCCCCAGAAGCAAUUUUCUGCUGGUUCCUAGUACUCUCUUGGUCAGGGUUGAGGCUUUUCCUUCAGGCCAUGAUCAUCCCUGUCUCUUCUUCUCUGGGUUUAGGAAUGCAUCCAGAUACUGAGGUUAUAGAUGAUUUUCAUGGGAUAGAACAAUCAGAAGCAGUCUUUGGGCACAGUCACUUACCUCAGCAACCUAUAUACCUCAUGGAUAACAAGACUGACUUCUGGACAAUAGGACUCCUCAUAUACUUUUAAGUCCAUUUGUACUAUUUAAAUGCUGAUACUUCAGCUACAAUGCAGCCAUUUGGUCACUCAGUCUUCUAAGCAAAGCUCCAAUUCCCUCUCUUGGGUCAAUGAAUAUCCCUUUGCAGCUUUAUCUUUCUCUAUUCUUCUGUCCUCCACUGUUUGCAGCUCUGCUGGGUACUUCUGACUCUUCUUUCAUUUGUCAGUAUUCAUAGUAAUCUUUGUUUUAUUCUCUACAAUGGAUAACUUUUCUAUUUAUCCUGGCAUUCAGGGGAGAGCUACCACAAAAAGAAUUCAGUAAUCUCAGUGUCUAACCGCCAGCAUGGAAAUUGAUACUCACAAACCUGUCCUACCAUGUUGCAUUUCCCAUAACAGUGAAGAUUUGGUUUUAUUUCUCUUUCUCCUCACAAUGCUUUACCUGGUACAGAGCCCCACAGCAGGUACUCAGCAAAUUCUGCUAAAGAUGGAAUGAAGACUCAUCUGGUUUCCUGAUAUUGGCUUCUAUCUGCCAUGAUUUCACAGUGUUCCUCCCAGACAUCUGCUACCAUAGUAUUUUCUCUGAGAAUGACAAAGCUCAGAAAGUCCAAGUGACUCCCAGCCUUCAUCCAGCAGCUGAUGGAGUAGAAACAGACACCCACAACCAAACACUGAACUGAACUCCUGGAAUCCAGUUGCACAGAGGGAAGAGUGACGAGCAAAGGGGUCAAGACCAGGCUGGUGAAACAGAAACAGCUGACCUGAACAAGGGGGAGCUUAUGGACACUAGACUGAUAGCUGGGAAACCAGCAUAGAACUGAUCCAGACGCCCUGAACAGUGAAAAAAGGCCUUCACAGACAUAUGUGAUGAAGACUCAACUUCCCAAUGUAAAGUUCUUAGGUCCAUUCGGCUGAAGUCCCUGAAUCUGCCAGGAAUAGGCCUCCACCUUGCCAGCCUGAAAGGGCAUUUUAUCUCAACAACAGGAAAAGAUGCUAAGAUAGGAAAUGACAUAUCCAACUUCUGGUCACCUGCUAAAACAGCCUCGGAGAUGUGGUUCUGAUGUUAGCCCAGGAAGAAUGAAGAAUUAGCUUAACAAACAGCUAUUCUCUGUUGCUGCAUCCUAAUUCCUCAUGUGGGUUUCCAUUUCUAUUACUACACUGUAUAGUCCAGUCUGCCCUCAAACUCAUGAUCCUCCAGCCUCAAAAUCCUGAGUGCUGAGAUUGCAGGAAUAUGCCACCAUGUCCAUUUUGAUUAUUUAUGUAACUGAUGGGGAAUGUACUGUGUAUGUUUAUCUUAUUGAUUGUUAAAUAAAAUACUGUUUGGCCAAUGAGACAGGAAGUUAGACAGACUAGGAGUCAAAGAGGAUUCUGGGAAACGUAGUAGAGAAGUGUUGAUCCAGGCAGGAAAUGACAUAGCAAGGAGACUCAUAUUUAAGUGAAGGAGAAACAGGAAGGGUUCUCUUUCCCAUUCGCCUCCUCCACGGCAGGAUGUGAGCCACUGGCAAGGAGGGACGCCAAUAAGGCAUCCGAUAACAUAAGUCUUAUAAAAUAUAUAGAUUUAUGAUAAUUAAGACUGAGCUAACAGAUGAGGAAUCCUAGUCAUUGGCCAAGCAGCUUUGAACCUAAUACAA
rnacentral:lncRNA from 1 species